rnacentral:rRNA from 1 species
GGAGUUUGGACCGUGUCUCAGUUCCAAUGUGGCCGAUCACCCUCUCAGGUCGGCUACUGAUCGUUGACUUGGUGGGCCGUUACCUCACCAACUAUCUAAUCAGACGCAGGUUCAUCUCCAGCCGAUAAAUCUUUGGCAAUCUGGCCAUGUGACCAAACUGCUUUAUCAGGUAUUAAUCCAGGUUUCCCUAGGCUAUCCCUGUGCUGAAGGCAGAUUACCUACGCGUUACUCACCCGUCCGCCGCUAUCCAUCGCUUCAAUCAACCGAAAUCUCAAUCAGCGACUUCCCGCUCGACUUGCAUGUGUUAGGCACGCCGCCAGCGUUCAUC